UUAAUUGAAUAUGAAUCGCCUAAGACUCAGGUGGCUUAAUUGCCUUAACCAUGCCUGCCGAGGAGUUUAACGACUUUUCCUUAUGUUUUGGCGAGCAUAGGGAUUUUUUAUUAGGUCC
rfam:Lactobacillus lindneri DSM 20690 = JCM 11027 strain DSM 20690 NODE_49, whole genome shotgun sequence.